UACGGAGGGUGCAAGCGUUAUCCGGAUUCACUGGGUUUAAAGGGUGCGUAGGUGGGAAUGUAAGUCAGUGGUGAAAUCUCCGUGCUUAACAUGGAAACUGCCAUUGAUACUAUGUUUCUUGAAUUUUCUGGAGGUAAGCGGAAUAUGUCAUGUAGCGGUGAAAUGCUUAGAUAUGACAUAGAACACCAAUUGCGAAAGGCAGCUUGCUACAGGGAUAUUGACACUGAGGCACGAAAGCGUGGGGGAUCAAAACAG
rnacentral:rRNA from 1 species